rnacentral:lncRNA from 1 species
UUUUUUAUCUGUAUUUAAUAUUUUAUGUAUGUGACGGAGAAUCUUGAAAAGUUUUUGGAUUUUUGAGUGAACUAAACAAGUCUUAGAUGCAAAUUAAAGUGUGCGCUUGCAUAAAGGAGAUCUAGAUCCAGCAGGCUACCAGGAUUUGGUUUUAAUCUUUUUCUUCGUUACGUUUACUUUUAUUAGGGCACUCCCAAUGCUAGAAACUACAUGUAGUUUCUAUACCUAUUAAUUUCUAUAGACACUAUAUAGAAACUAUGCUUCCAAUGGAUAGUUUCUAUACAAUAAUUUGUUAUCCAAUCAUAUUCAUUCUCUUUCUAUUCUCAACCAAUCAUAUCACUUUAUGUCUUGGAUUUCGCGUAGACAUGGUUUCUAAGGCCAGUCUCAAUGGAGUUUCAUGAGAGUUUCAUGCACAUUAAAUAUGCUGAUGUGGCGCUAUAAUAAUGAAGAGAGAGAUGAUAAGAGUUUCAUAGGAGUAGAGAGAGUUUCAUCCCCAUGAAACUCCAAUGCACUGUUUCCAAAAUACAGAUGUGUUGGAAACUGGGCUAUGAAACUGCCAUUGAGGAUGGCCUAAGUUAGACCCAGUUUCUAUGGUUUUUGCUCUCUCUCUCUUCAAUAACUACCUUGCCACAUCAGCAAAAUGCUUAGGUGGCAUCAUAAUUAAUGUCUAUAAAAACUAUGGUGGUUUCUGCAUUGGGA